UUUACCUCUUCCUCUAACCAUAAUUUUUCCCGUUGAUCGUGUUCUUCUUUUUCCCGAGCUUCUUUUUCUUUGUCCUCAACUUCACACUGUUCUAGCCAUUUUAAAUAUUCCGCGCUUUUUUGAAGUGCUGCCCUCAGCUGUUCCUCGGCCGCUUCUCGUUGAGCGGCUGCUUUGCGACGCAGACGUCUCCGACGUUCCCUUUUUGCUAUGUUACGCCACUCUUUGUGACUAUAUUUGGUUAAACGACUCCCUUCCAUUAUCAUGCAUUGUCCACAAGAGAUUGUACUCGCGUUACUUCCACUUACUGUAUCAAAAGUUGACCGUACAAUUAUAUGUUACAUUCUAUUUUGCGAUCCUUGUUAAUAUUUACCGUAGACAUUUGGUAUCAUGGAUUCUUGAUAUGAAUUAAAAUACACAUCGUACAUAUAUCCCUGAAACGUACGAGAAAUACAAAAAAGAUAUAUUAACAAAUAAGAUACAUUAAGCUUUCGUUUAAUCAAAUCGAGCCUUUUACUUAGGUGCAAUAAAUAAGAAUCUCAUCUAAUUUAAUAAAUACAUUUUAUUUAUAUGUCAUAUAUUUGUUUUUCUAUUAUUUACUUUAUACAAAACGACAAAGCUGCAUCGUUCUGAAAAUAAAUCAGUAAUUACAAAUUGGUACGUAUCUGAAUUCGUAAUCACUCUAUUUCUAAUCGAUUUCGAUCGAUCAUCUGUUACGAUUGUUAAUUCGCAUUGUAUUCAUUUAAGGUUUCGGGUUUGCUUUCAUUGCUACGGUCCUGUUAAAGUACCGUUAUAUCUGGCAGAGCGUUGAACUACAAAUGGUAUACAUCGGUGUAGUAAAGCCACCUGUGGCAUUUUUCGAAACGAUAUCGAUAAAUACGCUUCGGCCCAUUGUUUUAUUUUUACAAAAGAAACAAUUAAGUUGAACUAAUUAUCGACAGGCACAGUAAACGCGUAAAAAAUCGCUAUUAUCUUAACUAUAUUCGCUAUUCAUGUUGCGAGAAUAAUGACGAAGUAUGUGAUAGCCGAUGAUACCAGGAUACGUUGCAAAUAAUACACACGUAGCUGUUAGUGCGAUCGUGAAACUCAAAGCCGGUAGUGUAGUGUUACCCGGCUCGUCAAUGUGCAUCUAACUUUCAGUUAUUUCAUUUAAUACCGGUGUGUAUUAAUCGUUAUACCGUGUAUAAUGUGUAACUCGAUGCAUAAUUAGAUUAUA
rnacentral:misc_RNA from 1 species